GAGCUAACGCGUUAAGUCGACCGCCUGGGGAGUACGGCCGCAAGGUUAAAACUCAAAUGAAUUGACGGGGGCCCGCACAAGCGGUGGAGCAUGUGGUUUAAUUCGAUGCAACGCGAAGAACCUUACCUACUCUUGACAUCCAGAGAACUUACCAGAGAUGGUUUGGUGCCUUCGGGAACUCUGAGACAGGUGCUGCAUGGCUGUCGUCAGCUCGUGUUGUGAAAUGUUGGGUUAAGUCCCGCAACGAGCGCAACCCUUAUCCUUUGUUGCCAGCGGUCCGGCCGGGAACUCAAAGGAGACUGCCAGUGAUAAACUGGAGGAAGGUGGGGAUGACGUCAAGUCAUCAUGGCCCUUACGAGUAGGGCUACACACGUGCUACAAUGGCGCAUACAAAGAGAAGCGACCUCGCGAGAGCAAGCGGACCUCAUAAAGUGCGUCGUAGUCCGGAUUGGAGUCUGCAACUCGACUCCAUGAAGUCGGAAUCGCUAGUAAUCGUAGAUCAGAAUGCUACGGUGAAUACGUUCCCGGGCCUUGUA
rnacentral:rRNA from 1 species